rnacentral:lncRNA from 1 species
UGGGCAUACCAGUUCAAGGACAUGGCAUAAGCCAGCCAAAGGGUGAGAAAGGACUUAGCUGCAUCUCUGAGGAAUCACCGAGCCAGCGAGCUGCACAGGAGCAGGAAGGAGUGACGGCAGACCCGAGUUAGCACCCUCUGAGCCAAGCACCUUCCCUGCCAAGGCACAGACAAGCCCAGCCCUGGGACCCAAGUCAGGGAGAUGGGCAACCCCACCCAUCCCACCUCAGAUAGAGGCUCUGUGCACUCCUAGAGCCUUCAGUUCAGCCCAGAGGGGAGAGGGAGGAAAACAGAGAGAAGAGAGGAGCUGGAAAUGAACUGGUUCAUAAGGCCUGGAUUGACAAAGAAAAAGCUCAGAAAUUACUGCAUUCAGUUGCCUGCAUCAGACCACUUGGCUUACAAUCAGAGUUCAGAAGUCACAUGGUCAGAGUAAGUGUCAGGGUGGCACUGACCAGCACUGUGAUCCUGGGCGAAUUGUUUUACUUCUCCAGGCCCUGUGACCCAGCCUUCAAAAUGAGUUUUCUCCCAGCCCUGGGAGUGUACAGUUCUAUAGCCCCCAAGGCGGCCCGCAGGUGGCUCAGGCCGAGCUUCUACUCCAUGCCUCGUGGUUGUGGGCCCAGAGGAGGCCUGGCGACAGAGGGCAGGGAAGGACCGGGCCCAGCCUCCUUUGUCAUUUUCCUUUAUACUGUGCAGCUACAUGGGAGAAUUUCCCAGUCUGUGCUGAGAAUACUUCCCUUGUCCCCACUUUUGAAAUCAUCCUGUAGAGGGCACAGUGUCCUCAUCCCGGCGGCUUCCAUGGUUAGUCAAGUCCUGAAGGCUUUUCUGUCCAUCUGCUGAUCUACACAAAUCACUGAGGACGGCACUUUGGGAACAGGCAUAUCAGGGAGCACAGGAGGGGCCUUUGACUGUGAGGAGCUCACAGUAGCUCUCAAGAAGAAAAGACACGGACCUAUUCCAGUAAACCAGAGACAUACUCACGUGGACAGGCUAAGAUAGCAAACAGAUUCUAGAUGCUUAAGAAUUCAGAAGGAGGCCAAGCAUGGUGGCUCAGGCCUGUAAUCCCAGCACUUUGGGAGGCCGAGGCGGGCGGAUCACCUGAGGUCAGGAGUUCAAGACCAGCCUGGCCAACAUGGUAAAACCCCAUCUCUAUAAAAAUACAAAAAUUAGUUGGGCAUGAUGGUGGGUGCAUGUAAUCCCGGCUACUCGGGAGGCUGAGGCAGGAGAAUCGCUUGAACCAGGGAGGCAGAGGUUGCAGUGAGCUGAGAUCAUGCCACUGCACUCCCGCCUGAGCAACAAGACUCUAUCUCAAUUAAAAAAAAAAAAAAAAAA